AUACGUAGGUGGCAAGCGUUAUCCGGAAUUAUUGGGCGUAAAGCGCGCGCAGGCGGUCCUUUAAGUCUGAUGUGAAAGCCCACGGCUCAACCGUGGAGGGUCAUUGGAAACUGGGGGACUUGAGUGCAGAAGAGGAGAGCGGAAUUCCACGUGUAGCGGUGAAAUGCGUAGAGAUGUGGAGGAACACCAGUGGCGAAGGCGGCUCUCUGGUCUGUAACUGACGCUGAGGCGCGAAAGCGUGGGGAGCGAACAGGAUUAGAUACCCUGGUAGUCCACGCCGUAAACGAUGAGUGCUAAGUGUUAGAGGGUUUCCGCCCUUUAGUGCUGCAGCAAACGCAUUAAGCACUCCGCCUGGGGAGUACGGUCGCAAGACUGAA
rnacentral:rRNA from 1 species